CCCGACUGGCAUUACACUGGACGAAAGUACAAUUCAUGGACGUGCUUACGUGAUUAAGAUGCGAUUUCACUGGAAAUGGGGAUGUAGACAAUGUGUUUUUCGAAAUCGUUGAACCGGACCAGGGCACAACCUCAGAGUCGCUGUGUAGUGCACUGAAAAACAAACUUCAGGAAGCGGGAAUGGACGAAGAAUUUCUUUGAAAAAGCUAUUAAGCAUAGCAACAGACGGAGCUUCUGUACUAACCGGGAGGAAGACAGGUCUCAUAGCUAGACUGAAAGAAGAUUUCCCUCGGCUUCAGGAGCAGAUCGCUUAGAAUUAGCCGUAAACGACUCCUUAAAAGGCGGUGGCUGGCGGCAAUAAUUUAGAGUUUUUUAUCUCAAAACUCUAUGCGCUUUACCACCAGUCCUCUAAAAACGCAAGGGAGUUAUUGGAAGCAGCUGCGGAAUAAACAUGCAAAUUGUGAAGAUCGGACAGGUGUUAACUAUAAGAUGGGCGUCAAGCAGUUUCCGCAUUGUCAAAGCUAAACAAAUUCCAGGUGUUAGCACAUCACUUUAAGUCCGCAGGCGAAGACGUCUCCCGUCCUGGUGUGGAGAAGGCCAAGUACACCGGUUUACUUAAGCAUCUGACUUCAACUGGAUUUGUUGCAGAUUUAGCGACAAUGAAAUAUGUAGUAGGCUACGCAAGCUUCAAAGUCCCUUCUUGAAACUACAGAAAAGAGACGGAUCCCUGGUCAAAGCCAGGAAGAAAGACCAAGGGGGGAAAACAGAGCUGAAAGCAAAUGAAAGCAUAAGCAGCGGCGACUUCAGAGGUGUUGAUCCCACCGAAACUAUACCUAAAAUAAAAAAAUCUCAGGUCUACCAAUCAAUAAUCGAUAAUCUGACCAGGCGUCUCCCUGAUAGUGAGCUGGUAACAAUAUUGAAGCCUCUUGAUCAGCACUGACCAAAAGAGAGAAACAAACUUUUUGAGAGAGUGAGGUGAGGAAGUUUGCUAAACUUCUCGGGGAGUCCGUCACUGAAGCUGUCAGUAAGUUCAGAGACUGGAAGUUAGAAGGCAAGGAAAGGCAGGGAAAAACCUUGAAAAAACGUAUAGUGGCCAGCAACACUGUUCUCCCGACCUCCGCAGAGUGUGAGAGGGUUUUAUCUGCAUGUAACGACACUGACUGUAAGAACAAGAACCGGCUUUGAGUCAGGAGCCUUACUGCCCUGUGGUUCGUGGACCUCAAUGGGCCUCCUAUGGACUAAUUUGACCCUCUCCCGUUCAUCCAAUCUUGGCUAAAGAAAGGACACACACACCGGCCUUCAACAUCUUGGUUUCCGGGACCGCGACCAAAGCCUGCUGAAAACAGACCACUUUGGUCUACGCUGUCUUCGUAACGUUUUUGGAGCGUCACCUCCAGCCUGCAUUCUUCACUCCCCUCCAGCCUGCAGUCUUCACUCCCUCCAGCCUGAUACGACCCACUCUCCAACCUACCUCCUGCCUCACUCCUGGUUUUACUCAAUAAACCUGUUCACCGUCAUUCCAACUCCUGUACUGUCUCCGUGUUCUGCUCUUGGGUCCAGCAGCUAUCGCUCCCCUAACAAUAGAAGUAUUAAAAUGCAUUAAAUAUGAAGCAAAAAACAUGCAUUGAAAGAUUCUAGACAUUGAGUGGGGUCAAUGAUCUCAAGUAUAAAUAAAAUAAUAGAAAGAAUUGACUCCAAGGAUAGUAGGAGGGUUAGGGUUGGAGCCAAUCGGAGGUCAGAAGGUUAAUAGACGUGUCAACAUGUCAUUAAUCAGUCGUUGUUGAGCCGGUUGGUUUACGACAAAUUUUUGGAUCCGAAAAUGUAUUAAGAAAUUGUUCUUUACAAGUAAAAGGGAAAUAUCCUUACAAAAUAUAUAUUUUCUCUUCCUCUUCCUUAAUGUAUGUAAUUUGGUUACAGUAGUGAUAUUUUGGCCACGAAUAAAAAAGUAUAUACAAUCGCACUUAGGC
ensembl:lncRNA